CCAACAGUCCCUGUGCCUUGAACUUCUUUUGAUCUGUUUACAGUGGCACAAGUCUCUGUGGGACAGAGAUUUCUUGGCAGCAGAGCAAAGUUAUUUAAAGUCCCCUUUAAAAUACCUGGAUCUUGAUGGAAACAGAGCAGUGUCAUGGCUGGGACCGGAGAGGUGCCUGAGAAGGGCAGGGAUACACAAGCGGGAUCGAUUCCAGGCUUUUCAGAGACAUCUGCAUCAGGCCACGUUCAGGAUGGGAAGACACUGUCUGACCUUGGCAAUGUGGAGGGGCAGCCUCGUGCUCACAGGGGGCAGGCGUUGGCGAAUGCUGCAGUGACUCGGGAUGUGGGGAGCCUUGUCCACUUCGUCCUCUAAUCUCAUCACUCGGAGAAGAGAGCUGAGAGCUGGGCUGCACAUGGCAGAGAGAAUGAUGGAUAUCACCACUGGGAGAGAAGGAUCAGAAGGUGCAUCUGUGCUGGCCCAACGCCCACACCUCUGCCCAAUGUGAUAUAUCGAGACCAGCGUGAGGGGGACAGGCUGAUGCUCACUGCACAUCUGGCUCAGAGUGGGGCCUCCGGAACAUUGCAUGCUGGUAACAUCUCCCUGGGGAAGAAAAUGCUUGGUCCUCUGGGAAAGGAAUGUCUGUUCUCUGGGCUGGUAGGUAUUGAGAGGUAAGGUCUGCAAAGUCCAUCCCCAUGUUCUGAAUUCACAAAAUCCAGAAUUUUCAAAAUCCAGUGUGGUUUCCUGCAGCCACACUCUGUUCUGCUUGCUUCCUUUCUCCCAACAGGUUUACUAAUCCUUCUGUCCCUGACCCUGGGCUGAGCACAUGGCAUCUGGAAAUAAGUUGUGACCACUGCCUUGUCCAGUGAGGACCAUGCCAGACAAAUAGAUGAUCACCACGUCACCACGCGGUACUGGCAAGGUCUGGAAGGUGCAUCCAGUUAUGCCUGGGUAGGGAGGGGCUCAGCGUUUCUCCUCCAGAUGCUCAGUUCCAUCCACAGUACCAAGGCCUCAGAGCUUGGAAAGGUCUAGGAAAAUGUUUAGAAAAAGAGCCAUGGGAUUUAAAUACAAACAGAAAGCUGCAACAUAAAUGCAACAUGAAGCUGAUGCAUGUUUAAUUAAAUGUCUACAAAAUGUAA